rnacentral:rRNA from 1 species
AUACGUAGGGGGCGAGCGUUGUCCGGAAUGAUUGGGCGUAAAGGGCGCGUAGGCGGCCCGGUAAGUCUGGAGUGAAAGUCCUGUUUUUAAGAUGGGAAUUGCUUUGGAUACUGUCGGGCUUGAGUGCAGGAGAGGUAAGUGGAAUUCCCAGUGUAGCGGUGAAAUGCGUAGAGAUUGGGAGGAACACCAGUGGCGAAGGCGACUUACUGGACUGUAACUGACGUUGAGGCUCGAAAGCGUGGGGAGCAAACAGGAUUAGAUACCCUGGUAGUCCACACUGUAAACGAUGAAUGCUAGGUGUAGGGGGUAUCGACCCCUUCUGUGCCGCAGUCAACACAAUAAGCAUUCCGCCUGGGGAGUACGGCCGCAAGGUUGAAACUCAAAUGAAUUGACGGGG